UUCACAUCUGUAGAAAAGGAUCCAUAAAAUUCUAAGUCCAAAUCGUUUUUACUCUUUCAUUUACCAUGAAGAUUUUUUUAUAUUUUCCGCAACUCGCCUUUGAAGGGUUUUGCAAAGCUCAUUUCAUCAUCAAAAAAGUUCGUGCCAGUUACAGACCGCUUUGAAACGUGUGUGGGCCUUGCGAAUGACUUUUCCGUCUUAUAUUGCGUGUUUUGUUUGUCAAGAUGGUAUUCUUCAUAUACAUAAAAAUGCCGCAGCGUUAAGAGUUCUUGAAUAAUUUGUAUACGUAUGAAUAUGAUAUGAGGAGGAAAAUCAUUGCUUAACUUUGUCUUGGAAUUAUACUGAUUAUUAAUUGGCGGAAUUGAGUGAAUGCAUUCUAGUAAAUAUGUACUAAUAUGCGGGAAUAGUGAAAUUAGUUUUGAUUUAUGUGAAUGGAAAUGCUAUAUCAUUACAUGAAAAAGAACAUAUGUAUGCAGGUUAAGUGAUUAAUGAAUCUGAAAUAAAAACUUAUAGUUUUGAGUGGUA